ACGAACGCUGGCGGCGUGCUUAACACAUGCAAGUCGAGCGAUGAAGCACCUUCGGGUGUGGAUUAGCGGCGAACGGGUGAGGAACACGUGAAGAAUCUGCCUUCAACUCUGGGAUAACUCCGGGAAACCGGGGCUAAUACCGGAUAUGAGCCUUGGCCGCAUGGCCGGGGCUGGAAAGUUUUUCGGUGGAAGAUGACCUCGCGGCCUAUCAGCUUGUUGGUGAGGUAAAGGCUCACCAAGGCGACGACGGGUAGCCGGCCUGAGAGGGCGACCGGCCACACUGGGACUGAGACACGGACCAGACUCCUACGGGAGGCAGCAG
rnacentral:rRNA from 1 species